CUACGGGUUGCAGCAGUGAGGAAUAUUGCACAAUGGGGGGAACCCUGAUGCAGCAACGCCGCGUGGAGGAUGACGCAUUUCGGUGUGUAAACUCCUUUUAUAUGUCAAGAAAAUGACGGUAGCAUAUGAAUAAGCACCGGAUAACUCCGUGCCAGCAGCCGCGGUAAUACGGAGGGUGCAAGCGUUACUCGGAAUCACUGGGCGUAAAGGGCGCGUAGGCGGGUUGGAAAGUCAGGUGUGAAAUCCUACAGCUUAACUGUAGAACUGCACUUGAAACUUCUAAUCUAGAGUAUGGGAGGGGGGGAUGGAAUUAGUGGUGUAGGGGUAAAAUCCGUAGAUAUCACGAGGAAUACCUAAAGCGAAGGCGAUCUCCUGGAACAUUACUGACGCUAAGGCGUGAAAGCGUGGGGAGCAAACAGGAUUAGAUACCCCCGUAGUC
rnacentral:rRNA from 1 species